ensembl:lncRNA
CAAAGAGAAAACGCUUGAUUUUCACUUAAAUUGACGAUUCUCAAAGAGAAAACGUGUGAUUUUCACUUAAAUGGGGGUUUUGCGAAGGGAAAACGUGUGAUUUUCGCUUAAAUGUAGGAUUUCUGAAGAGAAAACUCGUGGUUUUUUGUGUUAAUGGGGGGAUUUGCGAAGGGAAAACGCGUGAUUUUCGGGUUAAAUGUGGGAUUUGAGAAAACGCGUGAUUUUCGCUUAAAUGUUGGAUUCUCGAAGAGAAAACGCGUGAUUUUC